UACGAAGGGGGCUAGCGUUGCUCGGAAUCACUGGGCGUAAAGGGUGCGUAGGCGGGUUUUUAAGUCAGGGGUGAAAUCCCGGGGCUCAACCUCGGAACUGCCUUUGAUACUGCAAAUCUCGAGUCCGGAAGAGGUGAGUGGAAUUCCUAGUGUAGAGGUGAAAUUCGUAGAUAUUAGGAAGAACACCAGUGGCGAAGGCGGCUCACUGGUCCGGUACUGACGCUGAGGUGCGAAAGCGUGGGGAGCAAACAGG
rnacentral:rRNA from 1 species